CUCACCGCUACUCUGUCUGCGCCUGCGUGCUUUGGCUCCCUGGAUCUGAUGGAGUCUUGCUCUGUUGCCCAGGCUGGAGUGCAGUGGCAUGAUCUCAGCUCACUGCAACCUCUGCCUCCCAGGGUUCAAGCGAUUCUCCUGUCUCAGCCUCCUGAGUAGCUGGGAUUAGGUGUGCACCACCAUGCCUGGCUAAGUUUUGUAUUUUUAGUAGAGAUGGGGUUUCACCAUAUUGGUUAGGCUGGUCUCAAACUCCUGACCUCAGGAGAUCCACCUGCCUCAGCCUUCCAAAGUGCUGGGAUUACAGGUGUGAGCCACCACGCUCAGCUGACAUUUGGUUAUUUUGAUUUUUUUGUUAUAUUACAAAUAAUGUUAUUAAAGCACUUGUGAUACAAGUGUCUCUUUGGGUCAUGGGCACACAAUUCAGUUGGGUAUAAACCUAAGAAUGGAAUCAUUAGGUCAUAGGGUAAGCAUAUCUUCAACUUCACUGGAAAAUAUCAGUUCCCAAAGUAGUAAUUGCCUAAAUUUACAUUCUCAUCAGCAGUGUAUUAAAGUUUCCAUGGCUCCUCAUACUUGCUAACACUUGGUAUUGUCAGCUGUCUUUGUUUUAGCCAUCUGGGUGUAUGUCCUUAUUCUUUGAAUACGAAUUUCCUUGAUUACUAAUGAGGAUAAACCCUUUUUCAUUACAUAUAUGUGAAUACACAUAUACAUAAAUAUAUACAGUAUACAUACUGUAUAUGUGUAUAUGAAAACAUAUAUAUACAUAAAUAUAUAUGUAUAUAUACUGUACAUAUUAGGCUAUCUGGAGUUCUUCUUUUCUGAAUUGCCUGUUCAAGUCUCUUGCUCAUUUUUCUAUUGAGUUGUCUGUUUUUUCUUAAUGGUGCAUAGCUCUCCUGUAUGUAUUUUGUAUUUAACUGAUAGCUGUUUUGCAAAUAUAUUCUCCCAGUUGUGGUUUGCUUUUUCACUCUAUUAAUGAUUGUUUUUGGUAAAGAGAAAUUCUUAAAUGUUUAAUGCUAAUAUAAUAAAAUCUAUUUAA
rnacentral:lncRNA from 1 species